UUGAGGAGAGGAAAUAGGGAGUUAAUUAUUCCAGCAGUAUUGCUUCCUUUCUCUGCCUGCCGUCACCAGAGACAUAUAUUCCUGCUAUCUCCUCUGAGAACUCUGAUAGCUGAUUUUCGGUCCUGUCCUUUAACUCUGCCUUUACUGACCAAAUGACUUCACUGUUACUAACCACCCCUCCCCCAUCCACAUCCGGAACGCGGUCUCGAACCUGUGCUGCCCCCUGGUGGUCGGGGCUGUGACACCCGGCCGAGGCUCAGGAGGGGGAGGAACAAGGGAGGCGUUCCCGAGGGCCUCUCCUCCAGACCCGGUUACAUUCCCGGCUCUUCUCUCCAGCGUCUAGCCAUGUUGUUUAGCAGUGAGGAGGUAUCAGGAUGUAAAACUAACAAGGGCUUCAGUUGAGGGCUGAGGAGAUACCGGCAGGCAGAACAAUGCAACGGACCUUGGGCACCACUGGCUUCUGGAGCAGCGUUGGUGACUGGAAACAUUGACGUCUGAUGGCCUCAUGGAGCUCCUCUGGCAGAACCCACAUGUAUAUGAAAGGCAUCUUUCCAGCAACUCAUAUCUGAACAUGCUCUUGAGAAAUCUUCAACUAGCUUAGUUUGGAGGUAUCACGGUGAAGUGGGAAAAUGCCAGAAAGGAAACAACAGUCCAGAAUCCUAGUCCAGCUCUUCUAGGGAGUCACUGCAGGACUUCGAGCAAGUUGUUAAAUCUUUCCAGAUUUAGUUUCCUUAUUUACACAAUGAGUAAAGAUAACAGGCUAUGAUUCUAUACUUCUAAGGAUAGUUGGUAUCACGUGCCUCACUGGCUUAGAAAUUGGGAUGGAAGGGCCAGGGAUUUAGCUCAGUGGUUUUGCCGCCUGCUGCGCAAGGGCAAGGACCCAAGUUUGAUCCCCAGUACCAAAAAAAAAAAAGAAAGAAAGAAAUUGGGAUGGAAGUAUUCAGUUACAAAAAAGCAUAUUUACUAAAGUUCUUGGGCACAUAUUAUUGAGGAAAGGGUUUCAGUUUGACCCUCAUUUACCUUGGAUGUUAAGAAAGAUGACUACAGAGAGGCAUCCUUUACAUUUAAAAAAUUUAGGAUGGUAAGGAUGGCACAUAUAAAGAAUAUACGUUUGCCGGGGAUUUAGCUCAGUGGGUCCGCCACCUGCCUCGAAAGCGCAAGGUCCCGAGUUCGAUCCCUGGCCCACACACACAAAAAAGAAUGUAAGUUUUUUCAAUUUUAAGUCAUAUUAAGUGAACUGAAGGGAGAGAGUGUAACAGGAGAGGAUGCAGCUUUCAUUUUGGGGCCAGUCACGGUCAAAACUUGGAAAAACAGAAGUCACCCCAGAAGAGUUUACAUGACAAAGAAGACCCCAGCUGCAAGGAAUCCGGGAAGGUGAGAUGUACAACAAAAUGUGGAAAUGAGCAGAAAUUUGAUCAUUGUAAACAAGAAGUUUGUGGAUGUGAUUGGAGGUUUCAGUCAGUUGUUUGAGCCCUCAGAUAGGACUGAAGAUGAGGUGUCUACUCUGCCUGGUGCCUCCCUUCUCCCACUUUUCAAAAAUGUGCUAAACUCACUCUUCCUGUCACUUCCUCGUUCUUCUCUGUCGCUAUCCACUACCACACCCUGUCUACUCACCCAUUGCUGCCCAUAGCUGUCCUCCAGGUUAUUGAAGAAUUGAUCAUCCCACUUCAGGCGGAUGCCCAGCAGAUGGAAAGGUGUAAAGCCAUUCUCAGCCAUGACCACGAAAUAGGUGAAGAAUCCAGCUAGAGCCUGGAUCAUCCCUACAAGUGGCAGAGUCAGGACAGCCAUAGAAGGUACCCCAAAGGCAGCCCAUGUAGGGGGCCAAGGCUGGGCCCCGCCUCUGUUGGGCUGGUGUGUGUCUGCACAGAGUGAAGAUUCUUGCCUUCAACCAUCUCAUCCCUCAUCCAAGGGACUUGUCGUCAAGCUCUGACAUUAAUUUCUAAACUCCAACCCACUGUCAUCUUUGAGUCACAUCAUCUUAAAACUGUAAGAGCUAGACGGCUACUUUUCCUCUGAUAUUUGGACAUUUAUCAGGUUUUAGCCUCUCAUCACAUCUCUGCUAUCUACCCUUUGCCUCUCUCUUAGAUAAAAUUUCUAUCUCCCAUGCCUGGGCCACGAUGAUGUUAAUGUUUGUCUACUAACCACAGAGUUGUGCGUGGUGUCAGUACCUGUGGACAUAGAUCCUCACAAUUCUGAACUGUUGUCUAUGUUUCAUGAAUGAGUACUGAAACACAUAUACAAAAGCCAGUCAUUGUCCAGGAUCAUACAGUUAGGAAGUGGUAAAAUUAGGAUUGAAACAUAGGUCUGAUUCCUAAGUCUGUUGUUUUGGGUUUUUUUUGGUACCGGGGAUUGAACUCGGGUCCCUACGCUUGCAUAGCAGGCGGCGAAACCACUGAGCUAAAUCCCCGGCCCCCUAAGUCUGUUUUUUCUACACAAUUGCUUUUCUAAAUGUUGCAACGACCUCCUUGUUCACAGUCUCUUCCCUGUCCAUCCCUCACUCUACCCCCUGAAACACUCCACUGUACCUGGCAACUCAUGAACAAAGGCCUCUAAUGGCACUCAAAUGUCUUUCUAGGCUGGACCCAAUAUAAAUGCUAUCUAUAUCUACAGCCUUACUUUCUACUACUUCCUUAUGGAGACCAAGAUGCCACCGAACUGGUCUAUUCACUCCUUUCUAACUAUGCCAUGUGAACUCCCCCUGUGGGACCCACACCUCUCUAUAUACAGUACUUAGUUUAAGCUCUAUCCUUCAACACCAAGUUCAAGUUCUCUUUCUCCCAUAAAACCUCUCUGACUGCCCUCAAAAUUGGUGAGCUUGCUUGCUUUGUGCUUGCAUGUUAGGUCUACACUCACUACUUGGCAUGUAGAAAGAUGCUACCAUUUUAGACACAUUUGUUUCGUUUUUACUGAGCUCUAAGUCAAGGGCACCUCAGAGAUCAAUAGCUCUUUGUGUUGCUAAGGCCUAGUGCGUUUUGUGUUUGAGGAAAUAGCUCCCUAUUUCCACACUAAAGUGGCUCAAACGGGCAGCUGUUCCCCUCUCCCUCCCCGCCUCACUGCUCUGUGCUCACCAAUCUGUCCAUAGGCUAUGCCAAUGAGACGGUGAUUCACAAGAUUAUCAGUCUUUGGGUUCCGUGGAUGCCUCUGCAUGAUGUCACUCUCUGGGGACUCAUAAGCCAAGGAGAUAGCAGGUAUCUGGAGGAUAGAGCGAUGGAAUGAUGGAGUCACAAAGUGCAGAAGGAAACUCACAAGUAGCUCCAGCUUUAUCCAACCCCCCAACCAAACUUUAUCUAUUCCUAGUCUAUCUCGCAGGAGCUCCCAGAGCCACAUCCCAGCCUGGUCCUCACCAUGUCUGUGCCCAGGUCAAUGCAGAGGAUAGUGAUGGUGCCCAGAGGCAAGGGGAUGCUGAGGAUGAUGAACAGCAGGAAGGGGGUGAUCUCAGGAAUGUUGCUGGUCAGGGUGUAGGCGAUGGAUUUCUUCAGGUUGUCAAAGAUGAGGCGACCUGCAAAGGAAGGCCAACCUUCUGUGAGGAGCACCGGAAGGUACCGCUCACCAACGAGCUCCUGGACAGAGAGACCACUGCAAAGAACUAUCAUGGUCCAUGAAAAGGCUGGAAGUCCCAGACAUUGUCAGUCCUGAUUUUGUCUCCAAAUUGUGUGAUGAUUAAUUAAAGCCACGAUUUAGUAGCAUGUCCUGACUGUACUCUUUGUUCUUGGACUCAAAUGGCUAAUGUUAUCUGAUCUCUGAAAAUUUAGCAGAGUUAGACCUAGCCAAUGCUGAGAAGUCUGAGAAUACCAGUAUUAAAGCCUUUACAAGAUUGAACCUGAAGUGGAAAGAGCCUGGGCUUGGGACAGACUUAGGUUUGAAUCUCACUUUCUGCCAUAACCAGCUUGUGACCUUGGGUACUUCUCAUCUCUCUGACCAUCAUUUCUCCUGUGCUGCAAGAUUGCUGAGUCCUUCCCUGGCUGCCUUUUCAAAGACUGUAAUCCCUCCCCACCCUCCAUGUUUUAUUUUUUCCAUUGCACUUAACAUAGUUCGCAAUUUGCAUAGUAUGCAGACAGUAGUCUGUCUCUUUUCAUUAGAAAUUCAGUUGUAUGUGGGCAGAAGCUCAUGUGUUUUUUUCUCCCACCAUUGUAUUCCCAGUAUCUAGAAUAGUGCAUUGCAUGCACAGCCAGUGCUUAAAAGAAUUUUUUAAUUGAAUGGCUAUUUAAAGGGUUAAGAUGAUAUUAGGUUUCAAUAAAGUGUGACCAUUAUUAUUA